rnacentral:rRNA from 1 species
GACGAACGCUGGCGGCGUGCUUAACACAUGCAAGUCGAACGGAAAGGCCCUGCUUGCAGGGUACUCGAGUGGCGAACGGGUGAGUAACACGUGGGUGAUCUGCCCUGCACUUCGGGAUAAGCCUGGGAAACUGGGUCUAAUACCGGAUAGGAGCCAUUUUUAGUGUGAUGGUUGGAAAGCUUUUUCGGUGUAGGAUGAGCCCGCGGCCUAUCAGCUUGUUGGUGGGGUAAUGGCCUACCAAGGCGGCGACGGGUAGCCGGCCUGCGAGGGUGGACGGCCACAAUGAGACUGGCAUGCGGCCCAGACGCCUACGGGGGGGAGCAGAGGGGAAUAUUGCACAAUGGGCGCAAGCCUGAUGCAGCGCCGGCGCGUGGGGGAAGACGGCCUUCGGGUUGUAGACUCGUUUCGCAAGGGACGAUGCUUUUUGUGACGGUACCUAGGUAAAAAGCACCGGCUAACUACGUG